rnacentral:rRNA from 1 species
ACUCAAAUGAAUUGACGGGGGCCCGCACAAGCAGCGGAGCAUGUGGUUUAAUUCGACGCAACGCGAAGAACCUUACCUGGGCUUGACAUGUACCUGACCGGCCUGGAAACAGGUCUUCCCUUCGGGGCAGGUUCACAGGUGGUGCAUGGCUGUCGUCAGCUCGUGUCGUGAGAUGUUGGGUUAAGUCCCGCAACGAGCGCAACCCCCGUCGCAUGUUGCCAGCAUUUAGUUGGGGACUCAUGCGAGACUGCCGGUGACAAACCGGAGGAAGGUGGGGAUGACGUCAAGUCAUCAUGCCCCUUAUGUCCAGGGCUACACACGUGCUACAUUGGCGUCUACAAAGGGCUGCGAUACCGUGAGGUGGAGCGAAUCCCAUAAAGGACGUCUCGGUUCGGAUUGUAGGCUGAAACCCGCCUACAUGAAGGUGGAGUUGCUAGUAAUCAUGGAUCAGCAUUGCCAUGGUGAAUACGUUCCCGGGCCUUGUACACACCGCCCGU